GACGGGGGCCCGCACAAGCGGUGGAGCAUGUGGUUUAAUUCGAAGCAACGCGAAGAACCUUACCAGGUCUUGACAUCCCGGUGCUAUUCUUAGAGAUAAGAAGUUACUUCGGUACACUGGAGACAGGUGGUGCAUGGUUGUCGUCAGCUCGUGUCGUGAGAUGUUGGGUUAAGUCCCGCAACGAGCGCAACCCUUAUUGUUAGUUGCCAUCAUUAAGUUGGGCACUCUAGCGAGACUGCCGGUAAUAAACCGGAGGAAGGUGGGGAUGACGUCAAAUCAUCAUGCCCCUUAUGACCUGGGCUACACACGUGCUACAAUGGUCGGUACAACGAGUCGCAAGCCGGUGACGGCAAGCUAAUCUCUGAAAGCCGAUCUCAGUUCGGAUUGGAGGCUGCAACUCGCCUCCAUGAAGUCGGAUCG
rnacentral:rRNA from 1 species